CAAUAAUGUUCUUACCUUCCAUGUUUUAAUCUAUUGUGUAAUGAAUGCCUAUAGAUGAAAACAUGGACUUUCUCUGUCAACAGGAAGUAUGAGCUACAGAAGUAGCAGCUACAGAAGGAGCAUUGAACACAUGGUGUCAACAGGAAAUCAGGCUUGUCAACAGGAAGUCACUCAGCAAUGCCAGGCAUGUUAAUUUGUUGUUUGCUGUACUUGUGUUUGCUUUCUAAAAUUAAUUUAAUCAGACAGAGGUUAAACUUUCUAAAAUUGUUUAUAUCUAACUGACACAUGGAUAGAUCGUGCAAUAGAAAUGAGGAUGCAGAUGCCAAAUGAAGGCCUCUCCAUCCAAAUUCAGUCCCAGCCACAACAAGGAUCGCACCAAGAUGCACCACAUAGGCAAGUGCAGUUUCUACUUUAAAUAUAUAUAAUUAUUUCAAAUAGUAUGAUGAUGAAUCAAGUGAUAUUUGUACUAUAUUACAAUAAAGUGGUUUUGUUUCCCUUUUAGAUCGGGAGUGCUAUGUGGACGAGCAUGUGACCUGUGGGAUGUGGUCCCAGUCGUUGUGAUUCUAGCUGGAAUACUGUACUUCAUUAUCCUAAUUAUUCUCAUUGUGUACAAGUACAUUUAGCAUUGUGGAGUGAAAUGCAGGAUGCAGCGGGAUAUGGCAAGGAGGGACAAACUGAGGGAGGAAAGCGUUAGGGUUCAUUAAGAUCUUUAAUUUGUUUGAGAUGUUAAGUAUGACUCCAAAAAAUAUUGUUAAUAACAUUUUGUUUUUCAAUUUGGUUUUGUUUAAUAAAACUGUUUAAACUGCAAAA